GACGAACGCUUGCGACGUGCCUAAGAAAUGCAAGUCGAACGGGGUAGCAAUACCCAGUGGCGAACGGUCGCGUAACACGUGGGCAACCUGCCCUGAAGUGGGGGACAACAUCCCGAAAGGGGUGCUAAUACCGCAUGUGUAUCGGGAUGGCAUCAUCCAGGAUACAAAGGAUUUAUUCGCUUCAGGAUGGGCCCGCGGCCUAUCAGCUAGUUGGUGGGGUAACGGCCUACCAAGGCAACGACGGGUAGCUGGUCUGAGAGGACGAUCAGCCGGAUUG
rnacentral:rRNA from 1 species